rnacentral:rRNA from 1 species
UGGGGAAUAUUGCACAAUGGGCGCAAGCCUGAUGCAGCCAUGCCGCGUGUAUGAAGAAGGCCUUCGGGUUGUAAAGUACUUUCAGCGGGGAGGAAGGGAGUAAAGUUAAUACCUUUGCUCAUUGACGUUACCCGCAGAAGAAGCACCGGAUAACUCCGUGCCAGCAGCCGCGGUAAUACGGAGGGUGCAAGCGUUAAUCGGAAUUACUGGGCGUAAAGCGCACGCAGGCGGUUUGUUAAGUCAGAUGUGAAAUCCCCGGGCUCAACCUGGGAACUGCAUCUGAUACUGGCAAGCUUGAGUCUCGUAGAGGGGGGUAGAAUUCCAGGUGUAGCGGUGAAAUGCGUAGAGAUCUGGAGGAAUACCGGUGGCGAAGGCGGCCCCCUGGACGAAGACUGACGCUCAGGUGCGAAAGCGUGGGGAGCAAACAGG